rnacentral:rRNA from 1 species
GACGAACGCUGGCGGCGUGCUUAACACAUGCAAGUCGAACGAUGAAGCUGGAGCUUGCUCCGGUGGAUUAGUGGCGAACGGGUGAGUAACACGUGAGAAAUCUGCCCUUGACUCUGGGAUAACUGCGGGAAACUGUAGCUAAUACCGGAUAUUUUCCUUGGUGGGCAUCCACUGGGGAAGAAAGAAUUUCGGUCAAGGAUGAUCUCGCGGCCUAUCAGCUAGUUGGUGAGGUAAUGGCUCACCAAGGCGACGACGGGUAGCCGGCCUGAGAGGGUGGCCGGCAACACUGGGACUGAGACACGGCCCAGACUCCGGCGGGAGGCAGCAGUGGGGAAUAUUGCACAAGGGGCGCAAGCCUGAUGCAGCAACGCCGCGGGAGGGAUGAAGGCCUUCGGGUUGUAAACCUCUUUUAGCAGGGAAGAAGCGAAAGUGACGGUACCUGCAGAAAAAGCACCGGCUAACUACGUGCCAGCAGCCGCCGUAA